GAGAAUGUAGCUCAGUGGUAUAGUACUUCCUAGCAUAGAUGAGGCCCUGGGUUCAAUCCCCAGUAUCUUUC
rnacentral:tRNA from 1 species